GACAACACUCUUUGCUAGCGACUCGUUCUGAGUUGUUGAGAUGGCAUCUGAUAUAAUGAGUGAAAUCCCUUUUUGUUGAAUCCUCGCACCAUUUAAUUCCCUUGUAGACCAUUUAUUGUUCUUGACAAUGUCUGAGUAUAAUAAACCCUUCUCAGUUUUCCUAUGUGAUGUUUUACCUAUCGGUUGGGCCUUAGCAUUUAUGAAGACUGAUAUUUUGGUAGCUAUGUCCAUCCAUCCAGAGUUUAAGGACCACUCAGGUAUGAUGAUGACAUCUCUUUUCUUGUCCUGCACCUUUAUAAUACUAAUAUACCGACCAAAUUUGUUGUAGUUCCUAGCGCAGAAAAGCUCGGUAAAGUGGUCCUAACGUUUCCAUCUGCGUACAGUGUAUCCAUGACUUUUUAAAGCUUCCUUGAGGGUGUAGGCUACCCACUCCAUUGUCUUCUGGCUAAUACUCAUCCUCAUCAUCAUCUUGCGGCCUCUCUCUACCCAAUCGUACCAAGUUUCGGCUCUGGAUACCACCCUGGUAAUGUCGUACGAUUUGAAACCAACAGCAAAGAAAAUUGUAUCAUCCCCCAUAGUUGCAUAGAGAGAAAAGGGAAGAAAAGCUUAAAGAAGUAGAAGAAGAAAGAAGAGGAGAAAGAAAGGAAAGAAGGCGCAGGUAUGUUUCCAGCAAUGGAAGAUCACCGAAAAGGGAUUCUAGG
rnacentral:lncRNA from 1 species